rnacentral:lncRNA from 1 species
CAACGAAACAUCCAUUCUAUGACGACAUUAAUGAAUGUCGCUUUGAAAUAUCCAUUCUAACCGAGAGAGAGAGAGAGAGAGAGAGAGAGAGAACUCUCCAACAGAACGACGCUCCAACAAGGAUCCCGACGACACACUGAGCUUGAUGGAGAAGUUGGGACCAUUGUUCUCGGGAGUCACACAAUUCGUAGAGAAUAACAUCAGGAUCUGCUUAUCAUCCAACGACUGUUUUGUCAAGAUGCACCUUGUUCCCCGAGAAGGUGUCAGUUAUCCCAUCUACUCGACAGGGGGAGCCACAGUCCAUAUGGACUCAUUGGUGAUGAUGGUGGAAGACCCAUCAAGAUGAUGCGCAUGUGUGCUCAGCCCUCCUACCUGAUCUACUCCAGACCCAGCAUCGCUCCUCGUUUUGCCGACCCUCCACGUAUCUGUUAUGUGAAGUACCCUGUGCCUACCUACAUAUGCUUAUGAUGAUUUUAAAGAUUGUAAACCCUUUUUCACUUCAUAUUAUGCACUUUAAACCUGUUUUCUCAAUGUUUACUUUGAAAAUAUAAGGUUCUGCUAUAGCUGUGUUUUGAUUGGUUAAUACAAUUUUGUCCAACACCAAAAAACUACUGUAUUUUCCUAGGUUAAAGUUGGACUCCUCCCUGUGUAUGAAUUAGUUGGUUGGUCAUCAUCAGUUUUUCAAUACAUUUAAUCCGU